rnacentral:rRNA from 1 species
AACGGACGCUGGCGGCAUGCCUAACACAUGCAAGUCGAACGAGACCUUCGGGUCUAGUGGCGCACGGGUGCGUAACGCGUGGGAACCUGCCCUUAGGUUCGGAAUAACUCCCCGAAAGGGGUGCUAAUACCGGAUAAUGUCUUCGGACCAAAGAUUUAUCGCCUUUGGAUGGGCCCGCGUUGGAUUAGCUAGUUGGUAGGGUAAAAGCCUACCAAGGCGACGAUCCAUAGCUGGUCUGAGAGGAUGAUCAGCCACACUGGGACUGAGACACGGCCCAGACUCCUACGGGAGGCAGCAGUGGGGAAUAUUGGACAAUGGGCGAAAGCCUGAUCCAGCAAUGCCGCGUGAGUGAUGAAGGCCUUAGGGUUGUAAAGCUCUUUUACCCGGGAUGAUAAUGACAGUACCGGGAGAAUAAGCGCCGGCUAACUCCGUG